UUUUGUAUCCAAUUUGAUUUCUUUUUUUGAAACAUGACAAAAGGCCUCUUUUUAUCUGGCACACGGAGUGGAAUGGGUCCUUUUUAAGUGCUGGUAGUACCACUAGCUACUAGACUCGCUCCUUCUUUUUAUCUACCACAUGGCAACGUCCACUAGUAGCACUAGACUGAUUCCCAUCUCCGUUUAAAAAUAAUUUUCUCCAACGCGCAAGCUAACGACCUUAUCCUCAUCCACCGAGCCACCCUGCACAUGGACGCGCUGCAGCCACACGUUUCCUCCGCCUCGCUCACACCUACCCCUCUCCUUCUUCCUCACAGAAUCAACACAGACUCGUCGUCGUCGUCCCUUCUACCGGCAACCCCGCGCCAAACCGAGGCCAUCAGAAGCACCUCCUCUUCCUCCUCAUCUCCCUUGCUGAGUGAAUCAUCCCGGGAGGACACGAAUCGAUCGCACGUUCGCCCUUUUUCCUCGCCGGACGCGCGCGCUUCUUCGUCGAUUUCAUCGUCUUCUGCUCUCCCUUGUCAUUUUCGACGUUGCUGAACCUAGUCGCCGGUGCAUUCCGUGGGUCCUCCGGCCGACACGGCGCACCUCGCGAGCCACUCCACCUAACCCCAGCGCCGCGGCCUCGUCGUCCUCCACCCCACGCAGCUCCGCCCUGACCUCGUCGCGCGUCCUCUUCCUCAAUCUCGCGUCGACGCCAUCGUCUCCUUUGUGCUCGCCACCGCCAGCGUCUCCUUCGUUCUUGCGCUCUACGACGGCAACUGGGCGCACGACGUCAAGCGCGAUGGCUGCCUGGCGCACGGCCUAACCGCGCGCGACCUGGUCGCGGCGCGAGACUUGCCGUGGUCGGGCGCACCAGCCGGUGGCAGCGUCGAGGGCGUCGGGCGGCGCCGCCAUCCGCUUUAGGACUUGAUUGCUUUUUAGUUUUGGCUUUAGGGUGUUUUCUGUAAAUUUCUUUGUAAUUUUAGUUUAACUGCUGUGUAAGUAAGUAAGUAAGUUAACGAGUGCAAUCUAUUUUCUGAACAAAAAAAUUAUUGUUAUUACCAGGA